AUUGAACGCUGGCGGCAGGCCUAACACAUGCAAGUCGAGCGGAUGAGAGAAGCUUGCUUCUCGAUUCAGCGGCGGACGGGUGAGUAAUGCCUAGGAAUCUGCCUGGUAGUGGGGGACAACGUUUCGCAAGGAACGCUAAUACCGCAUACGUCAUACGGGAGAAAGCAUGGGACCUUCGGGCCUUGCGCUAUCAGAUGAGCCUAGGUUGGAUUAGCUAGUUGGUGAGGUAAUGGCUCACCAAGGCGAUGAUCCGUAACUGGUCUGAGAGGAUGAUCAGUCACACUGGAACUGAGACACGGUCCAGACUCCUACGGGAGGCAGCAGUGGGGAAUAUUGGACAAUGGGCGAAAGCCUGAUCCAGCCAUGCCGCGUGUGUGAAGAAGGUCUUCGGAUUGUAAAGCACUUUAAGUUGGGAGGAAGGGUUGUAGAUUAAUACUCUGCAAUUUUGACGUUACCGACAGAAUAAGCACCGGCUAACUCUGUGCCAGCCGCCGCGGUAAGAC
rnacentral:rRNA from 1 species